rnacentral:rRNA from 1 species
UGAUCUGCCGGACCUUACUGCUAUCGGGAUGAGACUAAGCCAUGCAUGUCGAGCGCUCUCAGCUAUGUAGAGAGCGCGGCGAACGGCUCAAUAACACGUAGUUAACCUACCCUCGGGAUGGGAAUAACCCCGGGAAACUGGGAUUAAUGCCCACUAGAUGAUUAUACCUGGAAUGGCUUAUCAUCGAAAGAGUCUGGAAACAUGCUUCCAGCGUCGCCCGAGGAUGGGACCGCGUCCGAUCAGGUAGUUGGUGGGGUAAUGGCCUACCAAGCCUAUAACCGGUACGGGCCCUGAGAGGGGGAGCCCGGAGAUGGAAACUGAGAAAAGGUUCCAGGCCCUACGGGGUGCAGCAGGCGCGAAACCUCCACAAUGCGCGAAAGCGUGAUGGGGUUAUCCCGAGUGCCGUCCGAUGAGGAUGGCUUUUAAUCGAUGUAAGGAUUCGAUAGAAUAAAGGGGGGGCAAGACUGGUGUCAGCCGCCGCGGUAAUACCAGCCCCCUGAGUGGUAAGGACGAUUAUUUGGCCUAAAGCGUUCGUAGCCGGCUUAUCAAGUCUUUUGUUAAAUCCAACGAUUCAAUCGUUGGGCCGCAAAAGAUACUGUUAUGCUAGAGGACGGGAGAGGUCGACGGUAGUCCAGGGGUAGGGGUGAAAUCCUAUAAUCCUUGGAGGACCACCAGUGGCGAAGGCGGUCGACUAGAACGUGCCUGACGGUGAGGGACGAAAGCUGGGGGAGCGAACCGGAUUAGAUACCCGGGUAGUCCCAGCUGUAAACGAUGCGGGCUAGGUGUUGGGGCAGCCACGAGCUGCUCCAGUGCCGCAGAGAAGUUGUUAAGCCCGCCGCCUGGGGAGUACGGCCGCAAGGCUGAAACUUAAAGGAAUUGGCGGGGGAGCACCACAAGGGGUGAAGGCUGCGGUUU